rnacentral:rRNA from 1 species
GGCGUAGGGGGCCAGCGUUGUUCGGAAUUACUGGGUGUAAAGGGUUCGUAGGCGGUGCGGCAAGUUGGGAGUGAAAUCUCUGGGCUUAACCCAGAGGCUGCUUCCAAAACUGCUGUGCUUGAGUGUGGGAGAGGCGCGUGGAAUUGCAGGUGUAGCGGUGAAAUGCGUAGAUAUCUGCAGGAACACCCGUGGCGAAAGCGGCGCGCUGGACCACUACUGACGCUGAGGAACGAAAGCUAGGGUAGCAAACAGG